rnacentral:rRNA from 1 species
UUGACCUCAGAUCAGAUAAGGAUACCCGCUGAACUUAAGCAUAUCAAUAAGCGAGGGGAAAUAA